GAAAGUCAACUAUACUGCCUAGUAGCCCCCCUCUGAUAAGGCAUUCUAUUUUCUGAUUAUUGGCAAAAUAGACACCUUAUCCUAGGGGGCUGUUGGGAAAGAACUUCUGUGCAGACA
rnacentral:precursor_RNA from 12 species